rnacentral:rRNA from 1 species
CCCUUAGAUGUUCUGGGCCGCACGCGUGCUACACUGAGUGGAUCAGCGGGUCAGGUUGCGCGAAAGCGUUUCCUAAUCUUUAAAUCCGCUCGUGAUGGAGAUUGACGGUUGCAAUUUUCUGUCAUGAACGAGGAAUACCUUGUAAGCGCGGGUCAUCAUCCCGCGCUGAAUACGUCCCUGCCCUUUGUACACACCGCCCGUCGCUCCUACCGAUUGAGUGGUCCGGUGAGGCUUUGGGAUCUGAGCGGAAAGAGCGUUUCGCUGUUUCUGCUCGGAAAACUCAGUCGAACCUUAUCAUUUAGAGGAAGGAGAAGUCGUAACA